UACGGGAGGCAGCAGUGGGGAAUAUUGCACAAUGGGCGCAAGCCUGAUGCAGCCAUGCCGCGUGUAUGAAGAAGGCCUUCGGGUUGUAAAGUACUUUCAGCGAGGAGGAAGGCAUUAAGGUUAAUAACCUUGGUGAUUGACGUUACUCGCAGAAGAAGCACCGGCUAACUCCGUGCCAGCAUCCGCGGUAAU
rnacentral:rRNA from 1 species